rnacentral:rRNA from 1 species
AUUGAACGCUGGCGGCAGGCCUAACACAUGCAAGUCGAACGGUAACAGGAAACAGCUUGCUGUUUCGCUGACGAGUGGCGGCCGGGUGAGUAAUGCCUGGGAAACUGCCUGAUGGAGGGGGAUAACUACUGGAAACGGUAGCUAAUACCGCAUAACGUCGCAAGACCAAAGUGGGGGACCUUCGGGCCACGUGCCAUCGGAUGUGCCCAAAUGGGAUUAGGUAGUAGGUGGGGUAACGGCUCACCUAGGCGACGAUCCCUAGCUGGUCUGAGAGGAUGACCAGGCACACUGGAACUGAGACACGGUCCAGACUCGUACGGGAGGCAGCAGUGGGGAAUAUUGCACAAUGGGCGCAAGCCUGAUGCAGCCAUGCCGCGUGUAUGAAGAAGGCCUUCGGGUUGUAAAGUACUUUCAGCGGGGAGGAAGGGAGGAAAGUUAAUACCUUUGCUCAUUGACGUUACCCGCAGAAGAAGCACCGGCUAACUCCGUGCCAGCCGCCGCCGUAA